GAGUGAUCAGUCUAAAGGUGCUAUUCUGAACUUCAGUAAUGAACCUGGACCCUCGGAGUCAAAAGUUCAGUCCAGACCGAGAGCAGAGUCUCCAGUACCCAGCUGUCUGUCUAUGAAGAGUGACGGGUCCAAAGGUGUUAUUCUGAACUUCAGUAAUGAACCUGGACCCUCAGAGUCAAAAGAGAAGAAGAGGAGUCAUG